AUAGCACGUGAAAAGCUUCUAAUAUCAGCUGUAAACCUACUGCAAGAUGAACGCCAAGUUUUUCCUCGCUGUUGCUUUAGUCUGUCUGGCAGUCUCCACCACCACUGCAACGCCCCAAAAGAGGGCAACGUGCACGUUUGGGGGAGACGCUGCGUGUGAGGCCCAUUGUUACCUUCUGA